GAAAUGCGAUAAGUAAUGUGAAUUGCAGAAUUCAGUGAAUCAUCGAAUCUUUGAACGCACAUUGCGCCCGCCAGUAUUCUGGCGGGCAUGCCUGUCCGUGCGUCAUUUCAACCAUCAAGCCCCCGGGCUUGUGUUGGGGACCUGCGGCUGCCCGCAGGCCCUGAAAACCAGUGGCGGGCUCGCUGUCACACCGAGCGUAGUAGCAAUCACCUCGCUCAGGGCGUGCUGCGGGUUCCGGCCGUUAAACAGCCUUACAAAACCCAAGGUUGACCUCGGAUCAGGUAGGAAGACCCGCUGAACUUAAGC
rnacentral:misc_RNA from 1 species